CCUACGGGUGGCAGCAGUGGGGAAUAUUGGACAAUGGGCGAAAGCCUGAUCCAGCCAUGCCGCGUGUGUGAAGAAGGCCUUCGGGUUGUAAAGCACUUUCAGUGGGGAAGAAAGCCUUGGGGCUAAUACCUUCGAGGAAGGACAUCACCCACAGAAGAAGCACCGGCUAACUCCGUGCCAGCAGCCGCGGUAAUACGGAGGGUGCGAGCGUUAAUCGGAAUUACUGGGCGUAAAGCGCGCGUAGGCGGUCUGAUAAGCCGGUUGUGAAAGCCCCGGGCUCAACCUGGGAACGGCAUCCGGAACUGGCAGGCUAGAGUGCAGGAGAGGAAGGUAGAAUUCCCGGUGUAGCGGUGAAAUGCGUAGAGAUCGGGAGGAAUACCAGUGGCGAAGGCGGCCUUCUGGACUGACACUGACGCUGAGGUGCGAAAGCGUGGGUAGCAAACAGGAUUAGAUACCCCGGUAGUC
rnacentral:rRNA from 1 species